GCUUUCACUGCAAGGUCUGGCAGUUUAUUUUGUAUAAUCAAUAUUGGUGCAACAAUAGGAUACUCUGCUUCAGCGCUGAGACCUUUUCGGUCAUCAUUUGUCAUUGGAAAGGCUGCUUCCCUGUGUGUGUGUGUGUGUGUGUGUGUGUGUGUGUGUGUGUGUGUGUGUGUGUGUGUGUGUGUGUGUGUGUGUGUGUGUGUGUGUGUGUGUGUGCAUAUUCUUUUUGGUUAGUAAAACAACUUCUAAUGCCUUUUAAAGGGAAAGUAAUCCAAGAGUAACUAGAAGUAAUCAGAUUAUGUUACUGAGUUUGGGUAAUCCAAAAAUUACGUUACUGAUUGCAAUUUUGGACAGGUAAACUAACUAGUAACUGUAACCGAUUACAUUUAGGAAGUAACCUACCCAACCCUGCGUGCUUGUGAUUGUCCAUCUAGCUCUAUUGCCACCUAGUGGCAAAAGUUAGAAAGUUGUGAAUCAAGAUGUGAUUACAGGUGUGCAAUUCAUCGACACAGUACACGCAGAGGAGGGCUUAAAAUGGGAAUUCAGAGGUGGGGAGCUCUAUUUGGUGGUGGUGGUUGGGUUGGAGUUGGAGCUGGAGUUAGUGUGCUACCUUUUCAACCCCGAUUCAACCCUAACGCCAACCCUAGCUUCAUGUCUACAUCCUAGUUCAACCCUAACUGUUGUGAAGAGUCAUGGCACCCCUACAGGACUCCAAUUGCUUCCAAUUACACUAGGUCACUCCCCUUCCAUCCACACCUGUUCCCACUCCACUCUCCUCUACCUUUUUCACCCCUUUCGUUCCCCAUAAUAAGCUGCAUGCUCCUUCCUACCUACCAGUUCACUUUAUGCUUGGUGGCCCUGUGGGUGGCCCUGUGGGUGGCCCUAUCCUUCCUCCUUCCAUUGAGCCUGAUAGGAUGAAAACACCACAUCCGUGUUAUCCACAUCCAACCCUACCUCCAAGGCUUUCCAAGCCACAUCCUAAAGCACAUCCUUGUUAUUCACAUCCAUCCUAACCUCCAUCCAAACCCUCCCCCAUGUGCUUUGUUUGUUCCUGUAUUAUUCAACUGUGUGAAUAAUAAAUACCACUAAACCUGG
rnacentral:lncRNA from 1 species